rnacentral:rRNA from 1 species
UACGUAGGGGGCAAGCGUUGUCCGGAAUUAUUGGGCGUAAAGAGCGUGUAGGCGGUCCGGUAAGUCAGCUGUGAAAGUCAAGGGCUCAACCCUUGAAUGCCGGUUGAUACUGUCGGGCUAGAGUCCGGAAGAGGCGAGUGGAAUUCCAGGUGUAGCGGUGAAAUGCGUAGAUAUCUGGAGGAACACCGGUGGCGAAGGCGGCAUCCUGGACCGGCAUUGACGCUGAGGCGCGAAAGCCAGGGGAGCAAACGGG